UACGUAGGGUGCGAGCGUUGUCCGGAAUUAUUGGGCGUAAAGGGCUCGUAGGCGGUCUGUCGCGUCGGGAGUGAAAACUCAGGGCUUAACCCUGAGCCUGCUUCCGAUACGGGCAGACUAGAGGUAUGCAGGGGAGAACGGAAUUCCUGGUGUAGCGGUGAAAUGCGCAGAUAUCAGGAGGAACACCGGUGGCGAAGGCGGUUCUCUGGGCCGUAACUGACGCUGAGGAGCGAAAGCAUGGGGAGCGAACAGG
rnacentral:rRNA from 1 species